GACGAACGCUGGCGGCGUGCUUAACACAUGCAAGUCGAACGGAAAGGCCCUGCUUUUGUGGGGUGCUCGAGUGGCGAACGGGUGAGUAACACGUGAGUAACCUGCCCUUGACUUUGGGAUAACUUCAGGAAACUGGGGCUAAUACCGGAUAGGAGCUCCUGCUGCAUGGUGGGGGUUGGAAAGUUUCGGCGGUUGGGGAUGGACUCGCGGCUUAUCAGCUUGUUGGUGGGGUAGUGGCUUACCAAGGCUUUGACGGGUAGCCGGCCUGAGAGGGUGACCGGCCAAAUUGGGACUGAGAUAAGGCACAGACUCGUACGGGAGGCAGCAGUGGGGAAUAUUGCACAAUGGGCGGAAGCCUGACGCAGCAACGCCGCGUGCGGGAUGACGGCCUUCGGGUUGUAAACCGCUUUCGCCUGUGACGAAGCGUGAGUGACGGUAAUGGGUAAAGAAGCACCGGCUAACUACGUG
rnacentral:rRNA from 1 species